GGAACAAUCCAGCCCAAGAUGGAAAUAAGUCUGGGAAACUGAGAAGAGUGUGAUUUGCGAUCGCACCACCCACUGGCCUCCCCCUUCAAAGUUCUCCUGCCCAGUGUGAACCUCACUUCUGGCUUUUUCUACAAAAGUGGCCAUGAGCGCCCAAUGCACAGAAUGAAUUCGGCUACAAAGAGGCCUUUGAGAGCUCCUGAGGAAGUGCCCCACUGGGAAACCAGGUGGAUGGCAAACGUUCCCUUUUCAUUACAAAUGAGUUCAGGGACAGGGCCACCCUGAUGGGACUCUCAACUCCAUCCAAAAGCUAAGCCCCACCAGCCCACUCAUUUGAAAACCAAACAGGUUUCCUUCUGCCUCCCCUCUCCCUGUUUACAAACACGUUUACAAGUGCUUGAUAGGUGACCUUAUUUACUUAGUAACCUGUGGAUUCAUUUAUCUUGAAAUUAGUAGGUAAUGAAGUGGAAAACCUCAACAGCCCUCCCACUAAUUAACAUGAUAAUAAGAUUGUUUUGCUACAGAGGUACAAUUAGCAUGUAUGAGCCAAAGGGGAAGAAAGAUCAAUAAAAUGUCUGAAGGGUACUACUCCCAGGUCUCCAGAAAAGAACAAAGAAGGGAAACUACAGAUUUUAAGAUCCAUCCGUGUAAACACAUCCAACUCUGAGACCGGACCCUACUGAAAUGAUUUGAUGCCUGCUGGAUAAGGAGGUGUGGAGAUAACUGAAAGGAAUUAAUUAUAAAGUACACAUUUUGGUGCAGUCGAUGGCCUUUGAAAAUAAAAGGG
rnacentral:lncRNA from 1 species